rnacentral:rRNA from 1 species
GACGAACGCUUGCGGCGUGCCUAAGAAAUGCAAGUCGAGCGAGAUUCUGCGCUAACCAAAGCUUCGGCAGAGGUUUUGCAGAGUUUAGCGGCGAACGGUCGCGUAACACGUAAGCAACCUGCCCUGAAGUGGGGGAUAGCCCGCCGAAAGGCGGAUUAAUACCGCAUGUGGAUGCGCUGGCGCAUGCCAGUGCAUCUAAAGCAGCAAUGCGCUUCAGGAUGGGCUUGCGGCCUAUCAGCUAGUUGGUGGGGUAACGGCCUACCAAGGCGACGACGGGUAGCUGGUCUGAGAGGAUGGUCAGCCGGAUUGGGACUGAGACACGGCCCAGACUCCUACGGGAGGCAG